rnacentral:rRNA from 1 species
CCCUUAGAUGUUCUGGGCCGCACGCGCGCUACACUGAUGCAUUCAACGAGCCUAUCCUUGACCGACAGGUCCGGGUAAUCUUUGAAUCUCCAUCGUGACGGGGAUAGAUUAUUGCAAUUAUUAAUCUUCAACGAGGAAUGCCUAGUAGGCGCAAGUCAUCAGCUUGCGUCGAUUACGUCCCUGCCCUUUGUACACACCGCCCGUCGCUCCUACCGAUUGGGUGUGCUGGUGAAAUGUUCGGAUCGGCCGUUUGUCGCGGUUUCCGCGUCAUGUGGCUGAGAAGUUCAUUAAACCCUCCCACCUAGAGGAAGGAGAAGUCGUAACA